ACACACCUAACCCUAAAGGGAUCUUCACAAAUGGAGCUGAUGGAAGUCCGUUUGCGUUGCGUUCCAAAAAUUAAAUUGCACAAAUAUACGUGGAGCUACAUAGAGAGCGACGCUAACAGACAUCCGUCAGCUCCGUUUGGGUAGACUUUACCUACUGUAGAUCCUUUAACCUGCUGUAGAUCCUUUAACCUGCUUUAGAUCCUUUAACCUGCUGUAGAU